GCAAUCAGUCUCCACAAAAAUAGGCAGAAUUCUUGUGUCUUGAGCAAUUGAAGAUCAACCUCUAACUUAUCUAAUAAAGCGGAAACAAACAUCCAAUCUAAAAUGUCUCCACCAUAUCAUCAUUCGAGUCCUCCAAAAUCUUUAUCAUCAUCAGCCUCAGCCACUGGUACACCCCUAGCUUUGAACUUAGAGCCACUGGUAUACCCCCAGCUUUGAACUUAGCCGGAAUCUCAUUAUACUCAGCUAACCUUUCCACCUACUUUUCGAGUACAGAUUUUCCAGGAAAAUCUUAGAUAGAUUUGCAAGGUAAAAUUUCAUCUUCUCAUGCUCAAACUCUCAUAAAUCGUCUCCCAGCAGUUCAGUGUUAGCUUUCCCGAAGUCAAACAUUUUCUUUGCACAAUCUUUGUCUUUAAAAUUCCACACAGGACAUCACCAACUCUUGUUUCUUCACCUUAGCCACAGGUGAGAGGAGUCCCAAUGGUACUCUUAGUUUCUUGCUGCUGUUAAAAAAGGCCAAAGAAAAAACAUUAGUUAUUUUUAGAUAAGUUCAUCCGAAUAAUAUACAAACUUUUACUCCUUAUAAAUUUUGGUGUAUCAAGUUUUGAAAAUGAAGGUUAUUCAAUUGCUACCCUCUAAUCAGUUAUUAUCCGUCCUGGUUGGAUAGAAAAUAGCUACGGGCUAGUAAGGCACACUUGAUUGUGUUUCACAUGAGAUGGGAACAAGAUGAAGACUACUUUAAAAAGUGGUUGAGGUAAAGUUCUAAAACAUUUUGUUUUUG
rnacentral:lncRNA from 1 species